GAAUGAAGAAGCCCAUGUGUGAGGCCCGCGCCCUGGCGGGAGCAUUGAAGGGGCAUCUGACAGGUUACACAACGCUGAUCUAUCCAGGACGGCUUCAGGAUGGACUAUAAGAAGGAGGUUCAGUCCCGAUUGGGUCCGGCGCACCCUCAGGGAGUACAUAUACAGCGGCCUUGGUUUACGACGACGCACAAUGGCACAAAGAAGAACUAAGAGCAGCGCUCUGGAGACUGAACAACCUCCUGAUGCGGAAAAUGAAUGGAUCGC